AGAGCCGACACGCAGCAUCACAGCCGAGUGAAGAUGGCGGCUCAGAGAGUGAUGCUGUCAACGAGAGUUUGAGUUCACCUCUCAUUUUUAAACUUCUUAAACCUUUGAGGAUCCCUUACGGAUAGCUGUGUCAAAGAAAACUAUAUCGGUCGCUGCUCCUGACCAUUUAACAAUGGAAACUCAUGUUCUUCCAGAGCCUCUUCAUUUCACAGCCCACACUGCACUUCUGUCAUUGUGAGAAAUUCAGUCUCAGGUCUUUGGCUCUGCUGAUAGACUCCCUCCAGUAAGGUGUCUGAACACACGCUGAGAUUCACACUUCCACCCAGGACAAAUCAACUAGUGCACUGAUUUAUCAAGACCAGCUGC